ensembl:lncRNA
UGUGUACAUCCUUUCGGUCAUCUUGUUCCUUCCAUCCAAAGUGCGAGAGGAUGAUAUUACUCCCAAUAUCGCAAGGGGCGUGGACCUCCACUGUGAUAUUUUCCCUCACAUCCAGCCGGGAUGAGGAAGAUAUUAUCCCCAAGAUCACAGGGUUGUACAUCCCCUUGUGAUACUGUUCCUUAUAUCCUGGGAUGGGGAAGAUAAUACUAGUGGCAACAUCGCUGGGGUUUUACACACCCACUGUGCUAUUGUUCCAAAUAACACGAUAUGACGCCCAGUAUCACAGGGGUGGUACAUCCUCCUGUGAUAUUGUUUCUUAUAUUCAAGGAGAGAGAAUGCUAUUACUCCCAUUAUUUCAGGGGUUGUACACACGUCCUGUGAUAUUGUUCCUAAUAUCCCGAAGAGGAGAGCAUAUUACUCUCAAUAUCUCAGCGGGUGUACACCUCGUUUCUAAUAUUUUUCAUAAUAUCCAAGAUGGGAGAGGAUGAUAAGACUCCCAAUAUGCCAAGAUGUGUACAGCCGCCUGUGAUAUAGUUCCUAACAUCCAGGUGGGGAUAGGAUGAUAUUACUGCCCAUAUCGAUAUUUAGCCUACGAUCCUGAGGGGAGUGAAUGAUAUUACUCCCAAUAUCGAAGAAGGUGUACACCCCCCUGAGACACUACACCCAAUAUCCACGUUAGUACUCCCAAUAUCCCAGAAGGUGCACACACACCUGUGAUGUAGUUCCUAAUAUCCAGCGGGAAAGAGGCUGAUUUUACUUUCGAUAUCGCAGUGGGUGUACACCGCCCCCAACCCUGGGGUAUCGUUCCUAAUAUCCAGGCGGGAAGAAGAUGACAUGGAUGACAAUAUCGAAGGGGGUGGACAACUCUUCUGUGAUAUGGUUCCUGAUAUCCAGGGGGUGAAUGGAUGUUAUUACUCCCAAUAACGUAGGAACCGUACAGCCACCCUGGGAUUUUGUCCUUAAUAACCACAGGGGAGAGGUGAGAUUACUACCAACAUUGCAAGGGGUGUACACCCUCCUGUGAUAUUGUUUCUUAUAUCCAGGAAAGGAGAAGAUGGUAUUCCUACCAAUAUUGAAGAGAUAUACAACCCCCAUGGGAUAUUGUUCUAAAGAUACAGGUUGAAAGAGGAUGAGACUCCAUCCAAUAUAACAAGGAGUGUACAUCCCACCUGUGAUGUGAAUCGUAAAACCUAGAAGAGAGAAUGACAUUGCUUCCAAAAACUCACGGGGUGUACACCCACCCUGUGACAUCAUUUCUGUCAUCUAAAGGUAGAGAUGGUGAUACUACUCCCACCACCAGAGAAGGUACACACCCCCCUGUGAUAUUGUUUCUCAUAACUUGGGGGAGAGCAUGAUAUUACUUCCAGUAUGACAGUGGCUUGACACCCAGUCUGUGAUAUUGGUUCUGCACAUCAACUCUGUGCCCCUCGUUUCCCAUGCGUCCUCCCCACACUUUUGGAACCUCGGGGAAGGCUUUGUCUUUGGGUACAGAUGAAGAGACGAAGGGUCUGAGAGGUGAAGCAAGUUUGUUACUGGAAAGUGGUUCCGAUCCAGACCCCAAGAGAGGUUUCUUGGAUCUCACAGAAGAAAGAAUUCGGGGCGAGUCCAUAAAGUGAAAGCAAGUUUAUUAGGAAAGAAAAGGAAUAAAAGCAUGGCUACUCUGGCCGGGCGCAGCGGCUCACUCCUGCAAUCCUAUAACUUUGGGAUGCCGAGGCAGGUGGAUCACCUGACGUGGUAAGUUCGAGACCAGCCUGGUCCAACAUGGCAAAACCGUGUCGCCACUAAAAUACAAAAGAUUAACUGGGCGUGGUGGCAGGUGUCUGUAAUCCCAGCUACUAGGAAGGCUGAGGCAGGAGAAUCGCUUGAACCCAGGAGGUGGAGGUUGUAGUGAGCCAAGAUCACGCCACUGCAUUCCAUUUCGGCCAACAGAGCGAGACUCCAUCUCAAAAAAAAAAAAAAAAA